GUUUCUGUAGUGUAGUGGUUAUCACGUUCGCUUUACACGCGAAAGGUCCCUGGUUCGAAACCAGGUGGAAACA